CCUACGGGAGGCAGCAGUAGGGAAUCUUCCACAAUGGGCGAAAGCCUGAUGGAGCAACGCCGCGUGGGUGAAGAAGGUCUUCGGAUCGUAAAACCCUGUUGUUAGAGAAGAAAGUGCGUGAGAGUAACUGUUCACGUGUCGACGGUAUCUAACCAGAAAGCCACGGCUAACUACGUGCCAGCAGCCGCGGUAAUACGUAGGUGGCAAGCGUUAUCCGGAUUUAUUGGGCGUAAAGGGAACGCAGGCGGUCUUUUAAGUCUGAUGUGAAAGCCUUCGGCUUACCCGGAGUAGUGCAUUGGAUACUGUGAGACUUGCGUGCAGAAUAGGUGAGUGGAACUCCCUGUGUAGCGGUGAAAUGCGUCGAUAUAUGGCAGAACACCAGUGGCGAACGCGGCUCUCUGGUCUGUAACUGACGCUGAGGUUCGACAGCGUGGGUAGCACACAGGAUUAGAUACCCCAGUAGUC
rnacentral:rRNA from 1 species